rnacentral:rRNA from 1 species
CCUACGGGGGGCAGCAGUGGGGAAUAUUGCACAAUGGGGGAAACCCUGAUGCAGCGACGCCGCGUGAGUGAAGAAGUACUUCGUUAUGUAAAGCUCUAUCAGCAGGGAAGAAACAGACGGUACUUGAGUAAGAAGCCCCGGCUAUCUACGUGCCAGCAGCCGCGGUAAUACGUAGGGGGCAAGCGUUAUCCGGAUUUACUGGGUGUAAAGGGAGCGUAGACGGCGAAGAAAGUCUGAAGUGAAAGCCCGCGGCUUAACCGCGGAACUGCCUUUGAAACUGGCAAACUGGAGUGUGUGAGAGGAUAGUGGAAUUCCAGGUGUAGGAGUGAAAUGCGUAGAUAUCUGGAGGAACAUCAGUGGCGAAGGCAACUAUCUGGCACAUAACUGACGCUGAGGAGCGAAAGCGUGGGUAGCAAACAGGAUUAGAUACCCGGGUAGUC